GAUGAACGCUGGCGGCGUGCCUAAUACAUGCAAGUCGAGCGAACAGACGAGGAACUUGCUCCUCUGACGUUAGCGGCGGACGGGUGAGUAACACGUGGAUAACCUACCUAUAAGACUGGGAUAACUUCGGGAAACCGGAGCUAAUACCGGAUAAUAUAUUGAACCGCAUGGUUCAAUAGUGAAAGACGGUUUUGCUGUCACUUAUAGAUGGAUCCGCGCCGCAUUAGCUAGUUGGUAAGGUAACGGCUUACCAAGGCGACGAUGCGUAGCCGACCUGAGAGGGUGAUCGGCCACACUAGAACUGAGACACGGUCCAGACUCCUACGGGAGGCAGCAGUAGGGAAUCUUCCGCAAUGGGCGAAAGCCUGACGGAGCAACGCCGCGUGAGUGAUGAAGGUCUUCGGAUCGUAAAACUCUGUUAUUAGGGAAGAACAAAUGUGUAAGUAACUAUGCACGUCUUGACGGUACCUAAUCAGAAAGCCACGGCUAACUACGUG
rnacentral:rRNA from 1 species